CUUGGGCCGCCGGGAACCUCGCAGAGCGGCGGGGUGGCCCUGGCGAGGCGCGGUUGUUGGGGGUUCGCUCGAGCCUCACGACGCCCGCGACUGGGGACUCGGAACCUGGGCCAGGCUGGGACGAGGCCGCGCGGGAGGGCGCGCUGGGCGGACGCUGGGGCCGCGGAGCCCAACCGCCCUUGUCCUGGACGCCCCUUGGCGGUCCGCACUGGCGGGUGCCCUCUCCCGAGGGGAACUGAGGCGGGGCGCCUGCCACCAUUCGUGAUUUUCCGUGACUCACCCUCUCAACAGUGUCCCGUCAGCCCCCGCUUUCUGGAAUUAAGAUGAUUUUCCAUGGGCAUUAUAGUCAGAGGAGGUUUUCUGUGAGACAUCUGGGAAAGGUGACUCAAUGAUCACUCAUAUUGUUCUAUGAUGUUAUACAUUUAACCGGAAUACUGGUGAACAGCUUUUAUAUCUUGGAAUUUUUUCCCAUUUUUGAAUCAGAAAUUUAGGACCAAGAAUCUUCUGUCACAGAACCUAUUACUUUGAGGAGUGAACUUAUAUUAACGGUGCUAAACCGUACAUGAACGACUUGGUAGAUGAAAACUUUGGAAAAUAGGAACAUUUCAUGUCAUCACAUGUAUCCUCCAGCAUUGGGGAAAAUUCAACAGUUGCCUUAAGGCGGGAGUUUAAUUGAGGACAUUUACUAAAAAGUUACUUAUUCUGUUUGAAAUUCUCUUCUGAUAAACAUCUUCCCGGGAUAACGAACAUCUCCAGGAUGUGAGAGCCGAGCGCGUGUCCGCGGAGUGCUUGAGCAACGCAGAAUGGCUUCGGUGCUGCGUUCCUUAGACCCCGUGCGGACCCUGCUGAGCCCUCAGCAUCUAUUGUGAAUAAUUGGUCUACUUUGAAGCUCAGAAGAGUCAUUGUGAAUAAUAUGGACAGAGUAAAAGAGUUAUGACAUUAGCUGUUAGUGACAUUAGCUCGAAGCCCACAAUAGUCAUAGAAAGGGGGAGACUUCACAACACCAUCUCCCUGGUAUCCACUGGACUUUGAUGGGUGGCAUCCACUAGCGGAAUUCAGAAAAAUGAAGGUGUGAAAUCGGUUUUUAUAAAGAAGAGAACCAUGCUAUGGAGAAGGAUUACUGUAUCGCCUCUUCAGAAGCCUUGUAUGAUGCCAUCCUGGGAUACAGCUGAGUAAGCCUGCAUUCUUAACAUCGUAUAGGACAUUCUAGCAUAGAAGCCUAUGGAAUGAGGCCACCUGUUUUCAAAUCCAGCCCCCACCCUUGUGUGACCAUGGGCUAAUUGCUUAAGCUCCCCACAGUUCCAAUUUCUCCAUAUAGUUGGCAUACAAGGGUUUGUUUUGAGCAUUGAUGUAAGUUAUAUCCAGUAAUAUUUGCAAACAUCUUAGAAUGUGGCUGGUGUAGGUAAGUGCUCUUGAUCUCACAUUCCCAAAAGCACAUUUCUCAGACCAUGAGUCAUUCCUGCCUCUGACCAUCCUGCCAAAAUGCAUGCCUUCUCAGGUCCCCUUAUUCUGAAGAAAAUAAAACAACAACUUGUUGUUAUUGAAGGACUAGAGUGUGGGAGGAUGAUCUGUAUAGACUUCUUGAUAUAUCCUCCUACACAUAAUCCAUGGAUCUGACCUCUUAGAUACUUAAAAAAGGUAGACAGUUUACAUCAAAAUUAUUUGUAAGCCUAGAAAUAUUUUCAGAGGCUUACCAAAAUACAAGCUUUAAUUUCAUUUCAA
rnacentral:lncRNA from 10 species